AAAGAGGACCAUGUAAGGGAGUGACAUGAAACAGAGGUGACUUGGGGAGGGCGCAGGUAAGGCUGGCUGUGGCCGAGAAGGUGUGGCUGGCGGUGGAAAACACACCCAGAGUCAGUGCCCUCUGCUGGCAUCCGCGGAAGGGGAUCUCAAAAAAGGAGCAGCGUUAUGGAAGAAAAGAAGAGAUAGCUCUGAUUUUGCUGUUUUAUUUCCACAUGGAUACCAAACUCAUCACUCCCUGAAGAAGCAAAAGCAACCUGAAGAGGGAUGAGAUUUAUGCUCUUAGACUUGACUCCAGUUCUGGGGUAUUCUACGAUAGGUUUACAACUGGAAUGAACAUCGUUGAUGCUGUCAGGUGCUAGUCUCUGUUAAACAUCUUGCACCCCAAACUCUCAAAGACUCUAAGCUGUAACAGUUGGUGCUGAGGGUGAUCCCAAAAAGCAGGCAAUAAAGUGAGGGUUCAGAAGUGGAUCCCACACCACCGGGCUGGCCGUGAGGACCCCACCCAUCACUGGUGGCUGCUAAUACCAGUGGCCAUUCAGCUGUUAUAUCUCCCACGGUGGGCGGGGUGGGGGGUGAUUUGGGCACGGGUACCAGGAGGAGCAAAUACACUAGUGGGUGCAACAGAUAAGUUAUUUGAGACUUGGAAGGAAAAGGUAGAGACAAAGGUAACGGGAUUGGGUGGCUAUUGCCAAGUCUCACUGACAGCUACACAAUGUUGAGGAGCCGCUGAGGUGAAAACCAAGUUUGAGAUUGAGGUGUGAAAGCCAGAAGGCUCGUGGAUAUUCGAAGAUGCUCCUUCAGUCUGGCAGCGUUGGGACAAGAGAAGUGUUGGACUUCUUCAGCUCAGAGAUUGGAUUUCAUAAAAAAAUGAAGGCAGGGGCGCCUGGGUGGCUCAGUGGGUUGAAGCCUCU